rnacentral:rRNA from 1 species
UCCUGGUGUUGGAUCCCUCUUUUUUUUUAAUUUGUUUUUUUUUGGUUAAAAGUUUAUGACUCGAUAACUUUUAUACCGUGAGGCCAAACUUGCCAUGUGAUACCUUUUCGGAAAGCCCAAAAAGAGCCCUCCGACGAAAGAAGCAGGACAAUGGAACUUUUCCAUUGACUUUUUGUCGACCCCAAAUUUUGACCUUUAAGUACUUUUUUGAGCAUUUUUGUGAUUUGGGCUAUAUUACGGACCCAAAAUUACUUGUUCAAGCAUUAUUUUAGAAUUGUUUCACGCAUCAAAGCUCCUUAAGACUAGAUGAGGUAUCCCUACAUAGCGGGUGGGACCCAUUGCAAAUGGUUCAUCAAGUCUUCAAAAAAGAAUAUAUACAAUUGCAUUGCAUAUACUAACGGAUGCGGUCAUACCAGCACUAAUACACCGGAUCCCAUCAGAACUCCACAGAUAAGCGUUAUUGGGCGAGAGUAGUACUAGGAUGGGUGACCUCCCAGGGAG